AGCUUUGCAUACCGGCAGUAUCAUAGCCAAUGAGGUUUAUCCGAGGCACGAUUAUUGCUAAGAGUAUUUUCCAGGAUUCACAGAAUAUCUCAGAAAUGCACAGAAACUGC
rnacentral:snRNA from 1 species